CCGGGCGCACGGGUGAGUAACGCGUAUGCAACUUACCUAUCAGAGGGGGAUAACCCGGCGAAAGUCGGACUAAUACCGCAUGAAGCAGGGGCCCCGCAUGGGGAUAUUUGCUAAAGAUUCAUCGCUGAUAGAUAGGCAUGCGUUCCAUUAGGCAGUUGGCGGGGUAACGGCCCACCAAACCGACGAUGGAUAGGGGUUCUGAGAGGAAGGUCCCCCACAUUGGUACUGAGACACGGACCAAACUCCUACGGGAGGCAGCAG
rnacentral:rRNA from 1 species